rnacentral:misc_RNA from 1 species
GAUGAAGAACGCAGCGAAAUGCGAUAAGUAGUGUGAAUUGCAGAAUUCAGUGAAUCAUCGAAUCUUUGAACGCACAUUGCGCCCCUUGGUAUUCCAUGGGGCAUGCCUGUUCGAGCGUCAUUUGUACCUUCAAGCUUUGCUUGGUGUUGGGUGUUUGUCUCGCCUUUGCGUGUAGACUCGCCUUAAAAUAAUUGGCAGCCGGCGUAUUGAUUUCGGAGCGCAGUACAUCUCGCGCUUUGCACUCAUAACGACAGCGUCCAAAAGUACAUUUUACACUCUUGACCUCGGAUCAGGUAGGGAUACCCGCUGAACUUAAGCAUAUCAAUAAGUGGAGGA